rnacentral:lncRNA from 1 species
UGAAAUUUGUGAUAUUUUACCAAAUUGUCAGGUAUAUUAUAUUGUUCCCCUACUGUAGAUACAUACAUUAUAUGUUUUUAUGUACUUGUUUCCUUUUGUUGUUUGUAAAUAUUUUUAUUGUUACAGUUAUAAUUAAAAGUACAGAGUUCAGUUGUCAGCUGUGGAACUGCUUCGGCUUUGAAGAAAGUCAGGUUCAGGAAGAAUGUGUUACAUCACUUGGCAGCAAUGGCGGACAGAGCAAAGAUGGCAAUAGCUACAAAUACUGAAGUUUAGACGUAAAGGAAGAACUGUUUUGCACCUGAAGAACAUGAGGUUCAGGAAGAACAUGUUACAUCACUUAUCAGCAAUCAUGGACAGAAUAAAGUUGACAGAUGCCACAAGCACUGAAGUUUAGAGAAAUGUUGACCAGGAGGGAUGAUGAUUCACAUGAUUCCUUUGACAAAACAGGAGAAAAUGGACAAAAAGAUGACAUGCUGUCAUUUAUGGUUUCAUUGGCCAUGACAGUGACCCACUUUUGGCUUCAAAAUUAUUUGGA